CAAUCUUCCGGCAUUCCCUGUAUUCCACCUUAGACAGUGCAGUAGCCAUACACGUGCAGUGGGCUCCAAGUAUCAGACCAGACUUCUCAGCGAUUAUCCAGGGUUCCAGGGGUGUUUCUCGGAUUGAUUGAGAAUGGAGAACCUGAAUAAAAGACACGACAACCAAAUAAAUGCCGCGUCCAUCCAAAGCGUCGAAGGCAGCCAAGCAGCGCUAUGCUGCAAGACUGCAGCUUAAAAAAGAUGCCGAGGUCGCGCUACCGACCAUUCAGACACAUCGAGUGCCUCCAACAUGGCCGCGCAUCCGGGUUACUGCCCAAGACGUGACGUCGGUGAAAACGAUAGUUAUGUUAUUAUAACUCUAGUUCUAUGAUUGUAG
ensembl:lncRNA